GCCAAUAAUCUAGCCCCCCAACAUCUAAUGAACUUAAACACCUUAUCACAAAAACUAAAACAUUUUAUUAAUCUAGUAAAGGCGAUUAAAAGAUUUGCAGGAGCAAUAUAAGCAGUACCGCAAGGGAAAGAUGAAAUAAAAAUGAAAUAAAUAUUAAGCACAAAAUAGUAGAGACUAACUCUUGUACCUUUUGCAUCAUGGUUUAACAAGUCCAAUCAAGCGUAAAGACUUACAGUUUGACCUCCCGAAACUAAGUGAGCUACUUCAGGGCAGCUUAUUGAGCGAACCCGUCUCUGUUGCAAAAGAGUGGGAUGACCUUCAAGUAGGGGUGAUAGACCUAACGAACUUAGUGAUAGCUGGUUACUCAAGAAAAGGAUUUAAGUCCAGCCUAAAGUCUUCUUAGUUUAUCAAAACAUGACCUUAACUUUAGAGUAAUUCAAAUAAGGUACAGCCUAUUUGAAAAAGGAUACAACCUAAACUAACGGGUAAUGCUUCAACUUUAUAACUAAGUGGGCCUAAAAGCAGCCACCUUUAAAACAGCGUCAAAGCUUCAUUAUACCACACACCUAAUACCAUAAAAAUUUGAUACCCCUUUAAUUCUAUUGAGUAAUUCUAUACUGUUAUAGAAAAUAUAAUGUUAAAACUAGUAACAAGAAGAAGACCUUCUCUUUAAUGCAAGUGUAAAUCAGAAAGGACCUCCCACUGAUAAUUAACCCCCAUGAAACUACAUUAGUAACCUCACAAGAAAAUCCUAAUAAAUUUUGAGUUAAUCUAACACAAGAGCAUUACAAGAAAGAUUUAAAGAAAAAGAAGGAACUCGGCAAACAUUAACCUCGCCUGUUUACCAAAAACAUCGCCUCUUGAAUAACUAUAAGAGGUCCAGCCUGCCCAGUGACUUUGUUCAACGGCCGCGGUAUCCUAACCGUGCAAAGGUA
rnacentral:rRNA from 1 species